UCUUCUUCGCACCUGCGACUACGCUUCUGCGGUCCAAUUCUGAGUUGCACAAGUCUGAAACUCUCCAUUAGCCAACUGGAAUCACCCCGAGGCCCUUGAGACCUCAACCAAAAAUUCCAACAUAUGAGAAAACAUCAUCUAAACUCACUCAACCAUCAAAACGCCUCGAACAACACCAAAAAUAUCAAAUUACAUCAAAUUCAAGCCUAAGUUCUUCAAAACUUCCGAAACACGCAUUCGAUAAAUAACCCGACCAAUUUACCUCCGAAUGACCUGAAAUUUUACACACACAUUCCAAAUCACCUAACGAAGCUACAGAAUUUCUCGAAAUUCCAUUCUAAUCCUCGAAUCAUAAUCUCACCUAUCAACCUGAAUUCGCCAAAAUACUAACUUCCCCAAUUCUAGCCUAUUUCUACACUGGAACUCCAAAACCACUUCCAAUCACACUCCUAAGCCACAAAUCAUCCCCCAAAGCUAAUCGAACCAUCGAAAAACAUUCGAGCCCAGUAAAUCAUAAGUAAAUAUCCGGUUGACUUUUCUAAGCUAGGCUUUCCUUAAAGAUAUUGUCUCAUUUCCUACCAAAACCAAUCCAAAUCAACUUGACCACACCAAAUACAAAAAAUGAAGCAUAUGGAAGCAGAAAAGGGGGAAACGGAGCAGUAACUCAUGAGACGACGGGUCGAGUCAUCACAACUUCCCCAACUUAAACAAACGCUCAUCCUCAAGCGAGUCAAGAAACAUACUUGAAGCCUUAAACAGGUGAGGAUAUCUGCUCUGCAUCUCCCGCUUGGUCUCCCAGGUAGCCUCCUCCACGGGCUGACCUCUCCAC
rnacentral:lncRNA from 1 species